CCAACAGUGCGAAACCGCAAGGGAAACAAUGAGUGAUUCCCCUGGAUGGCCGCUAUUUCGUAUAACCGAACACAUGGCCAAGAGAGCCAUCUUGUCUCCCGAAGGAGGGCAGAGAUACUUGGUCGUCGAGUGCCUUGAACUAUUUUUGGUUAGGCAAACUGUCUACCGCUGUCCUUUCCUGUUCCCGACCACCUACUCAAAUGGCAUUCGG